GUCACAACUGCCAGCCUGACUCCACGGUCAGCCAAGCCAAGCAGGGCAGUGGACACUCCGGGGUUCUGCAUUCCCUCUGGAUUAUUCAUGAGUGCAUACCAUCCCCUCUGACAGUCACAGGCACUUCUGCUUACAUCCUCAUGCAUGAUUUUGUCAGAACAGAACAAACAUCUCUGGGCUGACAGUGAAGAUGAAGUGAGGUCAUGAGAACUAACACUCAUUGAGGGCCCAGAACAGAGCCUGUGUGACUGCUAGAGCAUUUAAACUUACAUAUAUGGCUCAUAUCAUGUUUCUAUUGGACAGCGUGUGAUGUAUGUCUGGAAAAGAUUGCACGGGCUGCUGGCGAAUGGAUUGUGGCCUAGAUACAGAAGAGGACACUGCUGGAGAGAUGCCUGUUUUACAACAAAAUCUUCAAGCCCCCUCUGAUGCCAGUGCCCUCUGGCCUCAUGGGUUGAUCAGACCUUAACUUGGUGCCUUUCAGUUGGGCCUGGGAAGCUUCCUUCCAUUUUAGUAUCUUCUAAGACCUCUGAAGUCUGGGGAAACUACUGAAGGAUGCUAUCCCACAAGAUGAGAGCAUAAUCAAAGAAAGAAAUCCCAAGAAAUGGGAUAAGAAGAAAGAGAGAGGUGAGGGAGAUUCACAGAGUGGUGAUAAAGGGAAGUUCCAAGAUGACCGCUCUGCAGCAAGCUUAGAAGGUAACCAACCCCAACCAGUGUGAGGACCAGGACUAAGAGCUCCAGAAGUGAUGUUGGCAUCUGGGGGCAGAAUGCAACUGAUAAACUAUGUGGUGUGACUUACCAUGUUGAAUGAAGUUUUAGAGAGAAAAAAAAAUUUAGACUUGAAUGAAUAAUAG